AACCUGCUGGGGUCCAGUUCCAGUCUGUGGGAGGUUUGUUCUUUCGCUCUUCUCAGUGACUCUUGCUGUUGCUCACUUUUUGGGGCUGCGCUAAUCUUUAUGAGCUGUAACACUCACUGCGAAGGUCUGCACUUCACUCCUGAAGACAGCGAGACCACGAAGGGAGACCACCGGGAGGGACGAACAACUCUGGAGUGCCAGCUUUAUGAACUGUAACCCUCACCGCGAAGGUCUGCAGCUUCACUCCUGAAGUCAGCGAGACCACAAACCCAGCAGUAGGAAGAAACUCCAGACACGUCUGAACAUCAGAAGGAACAAACUCUGGACACACCAUCUUUAAGAACUGUAACACUCACCACAAGUGUCCGCGGCUUCAUACUUGAAGUCAGUGAGACCAAGAACCCGCCAAUUCCGGACACAGUAGCUGGGAUUACAUGCGCCCGCCACCACACCCAGCCACGCCAGGGGGCCAAUAUUUCUGGCUUUCAAACUUCAUUAAAGGCUCAGAGAAAGGAAAAUUCAAGGCUGUUUGUGGAGGGGAAGAGAACAGAGAGCAAAGGUUGCGUAGAUACCAAACCAGAAAGGACUCAUUCCCUACACCAGGAUUGAACCCCAGGCCACCAUUGUAAAAUGGCGGAGGCCAAAACAAAACCAUUGUCACGUGGUUGCAGGCCACACUCCCAAAGAUGUGAAACAAGAUGGAGGCCUGCCACAGAGUUUGCUGCGGACUAUACAGAAAGACAUGGAAAGCACACCAGAUUGGCUACAACUCAAGACCAACCUCAUAAAUCCUUUUUCAUAAUUAAAACUUUACAGAGAAUAUAAACAGUGAUCUCUAUUAUUUUUGGCACAUCAAAAUGUCUUCCAAAAGGGAAAAAAAAACUCACUUAAAAGUCAACUGCUGACAGGGUAGGGAAAAGAAAAAAGAUGCCUGGGGAAGAACGUUUUAUUCUUUUGCAAAUGAGUUCCUCCACCAGGGAGAGUAACUUAAUUGCUGUCCGAUGGAGUGGGACCCCUUGGCUGGGGGAGGGGAAGGCUCUGUGGCUGUGUGGCAGGGAGCUGGCCAGCCUGCCUUUGGGCACCCUUGGGCCAUGCAUUCCAGCCCUGGCCAGGAGGGGAGCAGGAGAGCCACCAUUCACUGAUCUAUCCCACGUGCACCUGCAGCUGUUGUGGUGGGGUGGGGUACAGUUUUCUCUAUCCUCAGAAGAGGUAUGAGGACAAAAAGGCUUAGAAGCAAAAGAAAAAAAUGAUCUUUUGGUUUGCGUGAUACUCACCCUCCCUCACGCCCUAUGUCUGGAUGCCAAAAAUAUCAUAGAAAAAAAAAACUGCGUUCUUGUCACACGACCAGGAAAAGUUAGACACGCAGACGCUUUUAAGGGUGAGGGAGAAUGGAAUUUAUUGGGUGAAAAGGAAGAUAAACUCUCAGCAAAGUGAGAGAGGUUCCUGUUAACAGGCCCCCAUCUCACAGAUUGAGAAGGAACCACGCUCCUCCCCCUGCAAAUGGCAGGAACUUCCCAAGGCUCCACCCCAUCCACCCAGUGGGCAGGCCAGUGGAAGAUUCUCCAGGCCCCCUUAUCUUCCUUCUGUAUCUCAGGAGUUUGAGGCCAGCCUGGCCAACAUAGUGAAAUCCCGUCAUUACUAAAAAUACAAAAAUUAAUAGGGCAUGGUGGCACAUGACUGUAAUCCCAGCUACUCAGGGUGCUGAGGCAUGAGAAUAGUUUGAACCUGGGAGGUGGAGGUUGCAGUGAGCCAGUGAGCUGAGAUCAUGCCACUGCAUUCCAGCCUGGGUGACAGAGUGAGACUCUGUCUCAAAAACAAAAACAACCAACAAGACACUGCUGUACAAGUGAACUGAGAUAUCUAGUACAAAAUAAGCUUUGGGCCAGGUGCAGUGGCUCACACCUGUAAUCCCAGCACUUUGGGAAGCUGAGGCAGGUGGAUCACCAGAGAUCAGGAGUUCGAGACCAGCUUAGCCAACAGGGUGAAAACCCGUCUCUAGCAAAAAAUACAAAAAUUAGCUGGGUAUGGUGGCAUUCAUCUGUAAUCCUAGUUAGGAGGCUGAGGUGGGAGAAUCGCUUGAACUGGGGAGGUGGAGGUUGCAGUGAGCCAAGGUUGUGCCACUGUACUCAGCCUGGGUGACAAAGUGAGACCCUGUCUCAGAAAAAAAAAAGAAAAAAGCAAGCAAGCUUGUUUAUCCUAAGAAAGACUUUUUAAUAAGAGGGUUUGCCUUUGGUUAAAAGCUAUCUUAAAAAUUAGAUCUUUUAGUUUAUUUGUACAGUCAUAGGUUAGAUCUGAUACUGGUAAGACUGAUCUGGGGCUGAAGUCUCCUGUAUCUUAUGAAUAUCUUAUGAUUCUGUGAGUGAAUUCUGUGUGAAUGCUGAUAUAUGUAGAUGUCAAAAAAAGAGCCAAACUCUGUAAAACAUUUGAAGAGAUAUAUUCUGAGCCAAAUAUUAGUGGCCAUGGCCCAAGGCACAGUCUCAAGAGGUCCUGGGACAUGUGCCCACGGUGGUUGGGUUACAGCUUGGUUUUAUACCUUUUAGGAAGACAUAAGACAUUAAUCAUUGAUACAUGGUUUGGUCCAGAAUUGCAGAACAAUUUGAAGUGGAGGCUUACAGGUCAUAGGUAGAUUUAAAGAUUUUCUGAUUGGCAACUAGGCACGGUGGCUCAUGCCUGUAAUCCCAAUACUUUGGGAGGCCGAGGUGGGCAGAUCCCUUGAGACCAGGAGUUUGAGACUAGCCUGGCCAACCUGGUGAAACCUGAUCUUUACUAAAAAUACAAAAAUUAGCCCAGCAUGGCACAUGCCUGUAAUUCCAGCUACUCUGGAGACUAAGGCAUGAAAAUCACUUGAAACCUGGGAGGCAGAGGUUACAGUGGGCCAAGAUGGCACCACUGCACUCCAGCCUGGGCAACACAGCAAGACUGUCUCAAAAAAAUAACCAAAAAAACACAAACACGCAAAACCAAAAAAUUUUCUGAUUGUCAAUUGGUUGAAACAAUUAAGUUAUGAUCUGAAAGCCUGGAAUCAACAGAAAGAAGUGUCUGUGUUAAGAGAAAGGGUUGUGGAGACCAAAGUACUUAUUAUGUAGAUCAAAUGUCAGAACUGGCCACUCUUAGAGAUAAUAAGUGGCAAAUAUUUCCUAUUCAGACCUGUAAAAAGUGCUAGACUCUCAAUCUCUUCAGGAUUGGGAGGGUCUGGAAGGGAAAAUAUUUCAUUGUGUUAAUAGAUUCUUUACAGGAUGCAAAUCUCCCCCCAACAAAAGACAACUCCACAGAAUCAUUUCAAAGUAUGGCAAAGAAACAUAUUUUGUGUUAAAAUAUUUUGAUUUCCUCUUUAUCCGUCAUGUGAUGUUAUGCCAGAGUCAGGUUGGAAAGUAUUAUAUAGGGUUAAAUGCAACCCAUCUGGCAAGAUUUUAUGGUGUGUAGAGCAUGACUCCCAGGCCGCUUAGAUAGAAAUUUGGGCAAAAGGCCGGGCGCGGUGGCUCACGCCUGUAAUCCCAGCACUUUGGGAGGCUGAGGCGGGCGGAUCAUGAGGUCAGGAGAUCAAGACCAUCCUGGCUAACACAGUGAAACCCCAUCUCUACUAAAAAUACAAAAAAUUAGCCGAGCGUGGUGGCAGGCGCCUGUAGUCCCAGCUACUAGGGAGGCUGAGGCAGGAGAAUGGCGUGAACCUGGGAGGCGAAGCUUGCA
rnacentral:lncRNA from 1 species